rnacentral:rRNA from 1 species
UACAUAGGGGGCAAGCGUUGUCCGGAUUUAUUGGGCGUAAAGAGCGUGUAGGCGGCCAGACAGGUCAGCUGUGAAAACUCGAGGCUCAACCUCGAGACGUCGGUUGAAACCGUCUGGCUAGAGUCCGGAAGAGGAGAGUGGAAUUCCCGGUGUAGCGGUGAAAUGCGCAGAUAUCGGGAAGAACACCCGUGGCGAAGGCGGCUCUCUGGGACGGUACUGACGCUGAGACGCGAAAGCGUGGGGAGCGAACAGG